rnacentral:lncRNA from 12 species
GUAAAGGCACAUCAGUCUCAAAGAGUCCCAAGUGUUCAAGUCUGUGCUAAAAGCUUUUGGCACAGAGUCCCAACUAGAAGAAAAGUCCUGAUCAGAAGCAGAAGCAGCUCCUGAGAGGGCUGAAGGUGCAGCCUAGAGCAGAGUCCUGAGCAGAGGCAGAGCCUGGUACAGAGUCUCAGAGGCAGAGGCUCCCUGGUCUUUUCUUCUUUUUCUUCCUCUUCUUCCUCAUGUGGUGGCAGUGAUGGUGAUGAUGGUGGAGGAAGAGAGAGCAAGAGAGCUCUCCCUCCAAUACACAGAUUCCUAUUUACAAAUUACCCAGUGAGCUAAAAACACAAAUCUGGAACAUUUC